rnacentral:rRNA from 1 species
GCUACAUACGGGCCAGGAGCCGCGGUAAUACGUAGGGGGCGAGGUGUGUCCGGAAGUAUUGGGCGGAAAGGGCGUGUAGGCGGUUUGUCGCUUGUGCUGUGAAAAGCCGGGGCUCAACCCCGGACUUGCAGUGGGUACGGGCAGACUAGAGUGUGGUAGGGGAGACUGGAAUUCCUGGUGUAGCGGUGAAAUGCGCAGAUAUCAGGAGGAACACCGAUGGCGAAGGCAGGUCUCUGGGCCACUACUGACGCUGAGAAGCGAAAGCAUGGGGAGCGAACAGGAUUAGAUACCCGUGUAGUC